UGGACAGCAAGUUUUCAACCUGCCCCCUGAUUGGAUUUGUUUGCCUGUUUGAAUGAUCACCUAGUUUUGUAGCCCUAUUCUGCCUGCCCCUUUUAUUGGAUUUGUUUGCCUAAUUGCUGGAUAUCGUGGUUUUGACCCUGCCUGCACCUGGCUUGAAGGUUAAUAUUCAUGACACAUACCUAGGGGCAGUCAGCUCUACUGCAUUUUAAAAACCAAAGAUGUAGGUCUAAGCUGCAUCUCGACAGAAGGCUGGUUUGUGAAGCAUGAAGACAUUCCCUCUGAGCCUCCAGCUGCUGCUCCCAAGAAGUGACAGACAGACAGCCAGCGACAAUCUCAGUCAACAACAUCAAAUAUCAAUCAUAUGAAGUUUUACUAUUUGGAAUCCAGGGAUUUCGGUUCUAAAUCUACAGCUGGUGCCUUUUUUUUCUCACAGCGUUCACAUUCUGAAAUAUAUUGAAUUUCAAUACAAACACGUGACAUGCU